AUUGAACGCUGGCGGCUUGCUUUACACAUGCAAGUCGAACGGCAGCGCGGGCUUCGGCCUGGCGGCGAGUGGCGAACGGGUGAGUAAUGCAUCGGAACGUGCCCAGUAGUGGGGGAUAGCCCGGCGAAAGCCGGAUUAAUACCGCAUACGACCUGAGGGUGGAAGCGGGGGACCGAAAGGCCUCGCGCUAUUGGAGCGGCCGAUGUCGGAUUAGCUAGUUGGUGGGGUAAAGGCUUACCAAGGCGACGAUCCGUAGCUGGUCUGAGAGGACGACCAGCCACACUGGGACUGAGACACGGCCCAGACUCCUACGGGAGGCAGCAGUGGGGAAUUUUGGACAAUGGGGGCAACCCUGAUCCAGCCAUGCCGCGUGCGGGAAGAAGGCCUUCGGGUUGUAAACCGCUUUUGUUCGGGAAGAAAUCCUCUGGGCUAAUACCCCGGGGGGAUGACGGUACCGGAAGAAUAAGCACCGGCUAACUACGUG
rnacentral:rRNA from 1 species